CCCUUUGACCUGAGACGCUUUAGUUAGCCUCUUCAGUUUCAUCCUAUUGAAGCUCUGCCAGCUUCUGUAGGUGGUCACCUGCUGACACCAAUCUGAUUAGCUGCAUCUGGUAGGUGAACACAUUCAUAGGUGCUGGCCCAAACUCCAGUGAUUUUGGUUAUGUUUUUAACUCUGUUUGUGUGUGUGUGUGUGUGUGUGUGUGUGUGCGCGCGCGUAUGUGCACAUGCUUGUGUUGGCUGCACAGAAAUCCUUUUGGUUUUAGUGUAAAUGUAAAAAUUUUCUGAGACAGACAGUGGGAGCAGACUGGGGAGGCAGUUUAGGGUUAAGUGUAAAGAGCGAGAGAACAAGAGGGAGGGAGAGAGCAGGCAGCAGGGGAAAUAAAUUGAAAAAGCAGAGUGUAAUACAGGGUCUUGCAGGAAUUUUUGGGAAGGGGGGAAGAAAAGAAUGGACUGGUGGAAAAGGGAGACGCAGCGUAGUGUUCAGAGCUGUUGUGUUUCUAUGGGUCCCCUCUUCAAAGGGACGCUGGCCCUGAUGGCUUUACCAUACGCUGCUUUGGGGUUAGAGCUGGAGCACAGCACUGCACAGGACCUGCUCCACUGGAACUGCACUUCAAGGG